rnacentral:rRNA from 1 species
GACGAACGCUGGCGGCGUGCUUAACACAUGCAAGUCGAACGGAAAGGCCCUGCUUUUGUUGGUUUCUCGAUUGGCGAACGGGUGAGUAACACGUGAGUAACCUGCCCUUGACUGUGUGAUAACUUCAGGAAACUGGGGCUAAUACCGGAUAGGAUCUCCUGCUGCAUGUUGUUGGUUGGUAAGUUUCGGCGUUUGGGGAUGGACUCGCGGCUUAUCAGCUUGUUGGUCGAGUAGUGGCUUACCAAGGCUUUGACGGGUAGCCGGCAUGAGAGGGUGACCGGCGACAUUGGGACUGAGAUACGGAGCAGAAUCCUACGGGAGGCAGCAGUGGGGAAUAUUGCAGAAUGGGGGGAAGCCUGAUGCAGAAACGCCGCGUGCGGGAUGACGGCCUUCGGGUUGUAAACCGCUUUCGCAUGUGACGAAGCGUGAGUGACGGUAAUGGGUAAAGAAGCACCGGCUAACUACGUG